UUACAUCAAAAGAAUGGUUGAUGGUGA
rnacentral:snRNA from 1 species